rnacentral:tRNA from 1 species
GGAGGUGGCUCAGAGGUAGAGUGCUCACCUAGCAUGCGUGAUGCACUGGGUUCGAUCCUCAGCACCA